rnacentral:rRNA from 1 species
GACGUAGGGUGCGAGCGUUGUCCGGAUUUAUUGGGCGUAAAGAGCUCGUAGGCGGCUCGUCGCGUCGACCGUGAAAACCCGCGGCUUAACUGCGGGCUUGCGGUUGAUACGGGCGGGCUAGAGUUCGGUAGGGGAGACUGAAUUCCUGGUGUAGCGGUGAAAUGCGCAGAUAUCAGGAGGAACACCGGUGGCGAAGGCGCCACUCUGGGUGAAACUGACGCUGAGGAGCGAAAGCGUGGGUAGCAAACAGG